UGGCUCUGUUGAUAGAGCAUGGUGUUUGCAACGCCAGGGUUGUGGGUUCGAUUCCCAC
rfam:Salmo salar isolate Sally breed double haploid chromosome ssa24, whole genome shotgun sequence.